UAUGAUGAUUUAACAACGCUCGUAUGAUUAUGAUUACAUUUAACUGCAAGCUGAA
rfam:Tetrahymena thermophila SB210 genomic scaffold scf_8254666, whole genome shotgun sequence.